GAUGAACGCUAGCGGCAGGCUUAAUACAUGCAAGUCGUGGGGCAGCAUGACUGUAGCAAUACAGUUGAUGGCGACCGGCAAACGGGUGCGGAACACGUACACAACCUUCCUUUAAGUGGGGAAUAGCCCAGAGAAAUUUGGAUUAAUACCCCGUAACAUAAUGAAGUGGCAUCACUUUAUUAUUAUAGCAGCAAUGCGCUUGAAGAUGGGUGUGCGGCUGAUUAGAUAGUUGGCGGGGUAACGGCCCACCAAGUCGACGAUCAGUAACUGGUGGGAGAGCACGACCAGUCACACGGGCACGGAGACACGGACCCGAACCCUGCGGGAGGCAGCAGUAAGGAAUAUUGGUCAAUGGACGAAAGUCUGAACCAGCCAUGCCGCGUGGAGGAUGAAGGCCCUCUGGGUUGUAAACUUCUUUUAUAUGGGACGAAAAAGGGCCUUUCUAGGUCAACUGACGGUACCAUGUGAAUAAGCACCGGCUAACUCCGUGCCAGCCGCCGCAGUAAGAC
rnacentral:rRNA from 1 species